rnacentral:rRNA from 1 species
ACCCUUUGACAUGUCCGGAACUUGCCAGUAGAUGGCUUGGUGCCCGAAAGGGAAUCGGAACACAGGUGCUGCAUGGCUGUCGUCAGCUCGUGUCGUGAGAUGUUGGGUUAAGUCCCGCAACGAGCGCAACCCUUAUCAUUAGUUGCUACGCAAGGGCACUCUAAUGAGACUGCCGGUGACAAACCGGAGGAAGUGGGGAUGACGUCAAGUCCUCAUGGCCCUUAUGGUAGGGCUUCACACGUCAUACAAUGGUCGGUACAGAGGGUUGCCAAGCCGCGAGGCGGAGCCAAUCCCACAAAGCCGAUCGUAGUCCGGAUUGUUCUCUGCAACUCGAGAGCAUGAAGUCGGAAUCGCUAGUAAUCGCAGGUCAGCAUACUGCGGUGAAUACGUUCCCGGGUCUU